rnacentral:rRNA from 1 species
AUUGAACGCUGGCGGCAUGCUUUACACAUGCAAGUCGAACGGUAACAGGUUAAGCUGACGAGUGGCGAACGGGUGAGUAAUGCAUCGGAACGUGCCCGAUCGUGGGGGAUAACGCAGCGAAAGCUGCGCUAAUACCGCAUACGAUCUGAGGAUGAAAGCGGGGGACCGUAAGGCCUCGCGCGAUCGGAGCGGCCGAUGUCAGAUUAGGUAGUUGGUGGGGUAAAGGCUCACCAAGCCAACGAUCUGUAGCUGGUCUGAGAGGACGACCAGCCACACUGGGACUGAGACACGGCCCAGACUCCUACGGGAGGCAGCAGUGGGGAAUUUUGGACAAUGGGCGAAAGCCUGAUCCAGCAAUGCCGCGUGCAGGAAGAAGGCCUUCGGGUUGUAAACUGCUUUUGUACGGAGCGAAAAGGCCCUCUCUAAUACAGUGGGCUCAUGACGUUAACCACAGAAGAAGCACCGGCUAACUCCGUGCCAGCAGCCGCAGUAAGAC